UAUUGCUCAUUAAUAUUAUAGCGUGAUUCAAAUUGAUAUUUAAGAGGGCAAUAAAAAACUCCAUUAGGACGCAUAUAUUAUUUUGUAAUUAUGUUACAAGCUUAUACGACAUAGUAGAAAAUAAUAAAUGCUAACUUGUGUUGUAUUGCGCUGAUACUAUGAAAAUAUUGUUUUUUCUUGCAUUAUACGCAGGCAUAGAGUCUCUUGAAGAGGAUGACCUUCGCAAACAUUAUGGUUUAAGUUUUCACAAUAAAUGUGGAAACUACGUGAAGAUAUUUAACUGCCUAACAGCAUGCAAGAGCGUCGGUUACCAAAUAUUUCGUUUGAACCACAAAUGUUCGUGCACUUGUCAUGAGAUGAAGACUUCCACGUUUCUACCCUUUUUUAUGUGGAGAACAAAUGGAACCACGAGAAAGGUUCCGAAGACGAAUGCUCCGAAACUAUAUCAAGUCGUUGGUACAUUAUUUCCACCAGAGCUUUUGUCAUCUGGGGAAAUAGAUUCUACCACAGUUGGGAGCAAUAUAUCAACAACUAGAAGUCAAACAAACCAAACCACUAUUAGUGAUUCAAUCGGAAUUAGUACUGUUAAUGAUGACUUAAGUGGGACUGGUAACAAUACAUCUGGGAAUAUAACAACCGUAGAAGCAUAAAUUAUGAAAUUAUAUUAUUUUAAUAAAAAUGGUGGUUGGUAGAUAA